CUACCGAUGCAAAGGCUCACGGACGGCCCGAGCUUUCCCUCCCCACUACUUGGUGCGCUGCAGUCGGUCACUCACCGCAUACGGGUCCCUGUAAAUGAUAUGCACGCACACAAUCGAUUCUCGCUGGCGCGCGGCGUACUGCGACAGAUUCGUUUCCCUUUAUUUUACAUGGCGGGUUCCUCACGGGUGAUUUGGAAAACUGCGAGUUAUGAGACCAGAAUUGCAAAUUAAUUAGUUCCAAAACUUCGAAUUAAAACUGGAAAUUAAAUUUUCAGUGAAAAAUGAUAUAUGUAAUUUUGAAUUCGAAUCAUAAUAUUAAAAAUCAGAAACGGGUUUUUAACUCAAAAAUUAAGAUUGAGGAGUUUCAAAAUAAAUUUCUUAUUCGAAUGACAGAACUAAAAAAUUGAAAAUUACUUUUUCAUUCGAAUGAUGUAAUUAAGGAUGCAGAUAAUAUUGUAUUACUUAGUUCUUAUUUUGACAGUAACAAUUGGGAAAUAAAAAAAAUUCACCUAGUGCUAA